rnacentral:rRNA from 1 species
CGGAGGAUCCAAGCGUUAUCCGGAAUCAUUGGGUUUAAAGGGUCCGUAGGCGGUCUUAUAAGUCAGUGGUGAAAUCUCCCCGCUCAACGGGGAAACGGCCAUUGAUACUGUAGGACUUGAAUUAUUAGGAAGUAACUAGAAUAUGUAGUGUAGCGGUGAAAUGCUUAGAGAUUACAUGGAAUACCAAUUGCGAAGGCAGGUUACUACUAAUGGAUUGACGCUGAUGGACGAAAGCGUGGGUAGCGAACAGGAUUAGAUACCCUGGUAGUCCACGCCGUAAACGAUGGAUACUAGCUGUUGGGAGCAAUCUCAGUGGCUAAGCGAAAGUGAUAAGUAUCCCACCUGGGGAGUACGUUCGCAAGAAUG